rnacentral:rRNA from 1 species
GACGAACGCUGGCGGUGUGCUUAACACAUGCAAGUCGAACGGUAAGGCCCUUUCGGGGGUACACGAGUGGCGAACGGGUGAGUAACACGUGAGUAACCUGCCCUCAUCUCUGGGAUAACAGUCGGAAACGGUUGCUAAUACUGGAUAUGAGCUUGCAAGGCAUCUUGUGGGUUGGAAAGAUUUUUUUUGGUUGGGGAUGGACUCGCGGCCUAUCAGCUUGUUGGUGAGGUAGUGGCUCACCAAGGCUUCGACGGGUAGCCGGCCUGAGAGGGCGACCGGCCACAUUGGGACUGAGAUACGGCCCAAACUCCUACGGGAGGCAGCAGUGGGGAAUAUUGCACAAUGGACGGAAGUCUGAUGCAGCAACGCCGCGUGCGGGAUGACGGCCUUCGGGCUGUAAACCGCUUUCAAUUGUGACGAAGCUUUUUUGUGACGGUAGCAGUAGAAGAAGCACCGGCUAACUACGUG